GUGAAGGAACAGGAUUUUUCCAGACAUUUUCCAUCGUUCAAUGAUACAAAAAAAAUCUGUGACACUACGUUUUGAGAUCUGCAGUUUGAUCUCUUCUUCACUUCUUCCUGACUUACGCGAGUCACAACGCUCUGGUAUGAUUUGUUUAUUUUAACCUUGUUUUUAAUUAUGUGUUGGGUUAUUUAUUUACCUGAAGUAGAGAUGAGAUUGCAGGUCUCAAAACAUAGUGUUACUGAUGUUUUGUAUCACUGAACGAUGGCAAAUGUCCGGAAAAAUCCUGUUUCCUUCUUCAAUAACAAAGAAAUUAUCUUAACUAUUUAUAUAAACACUUUAGAAGCCCCCAGAGUUAAGCCAAAAGGAGUUAACAUGGACACUUUUUAAACACGAUUGCAGAAUAAAAACAUGUCUAACCCUUCAUUAAUAAGAUGAAUGAAGAGGGCAAUCUCUUCUCUGGUGAACUUCAACUCUUGCUUUCUGUUCUUAUACUAGAUGAUGUAGCAUACUCGUACACUUCUCUUGUACUUCAUUGGAUACAUUUUUUUGUUCUCUUAGGACAAGAAGCUUAUAAAUUGUACCUAAUCCUAUAAGGAUCCUUGCACUGCUCCCGGAGUGACAGGAUAUUCUGGAUGGGUAAGGUUGGGGUAGGGACCGCCUCCUAUUGAGAUCCAUGAUGACGAAUUUUAGGGCACUAAUCUCAAAGUCAUGUCCGCUCGAAAGAAGAGGGUGCCUGCUCUGAACCAGCCUCUCUAGUUAAAGCAGGCAGGGGGUGGCACACCCUUGUUGGGGCUAGCAAAAGCCUCUGAAGUUGGGUAACAAACCCCACCAACUCCAACAGUCAUCUCCUGCAGUAGAUUAGAUCUAUCGAAUUAUCCUUGCAUACCAGAAUCUCGACAUUUGCGGUUAGUGAUGUGCCGCUCCUGGACAUCCAUAAGGAUGCCCAGAUUUAAGUGACACAUCGGUUUUGCUGUGCCCAGUGGUAGGUUCAACUGGAAGGUAUAAACCAGCCAGAAGUGAUCCCUGCUGGCCAUUGGAUACACAUACAAUAUCAGAAUCAUUAACUAUUUUAGUAAGAGUUAAUUUUUUCAAGUUAGAAUAAUAUCUCACUUCCUCCUUUACUAACUUAACAUAGAGACUCUGCUAUUAACAUUUUUUAGUGUGACAUAAUAUAACAUAACGAUAUUACACUAGGAACGUGAUUACUCAGAAUGCAGAAUUUUUUAUAAGCAUUAAUUUGAUUGUAAUCCAGUUUUUAUUGUCAGACACCCACUUUAAAACAGAAAGUUACUAAACGAAAACUGCAACUGUUUUAUAUGUUACUAAAGCAUGAAAAUCAUACGUUUUGAAGACAAAAUGUCUUUUGCUAUUAUUACAGCAGUGUACAAGCUAUAAGUGACUGCUGAUAGAAGCCAAACUGUAGCAAUGUUGCCAUGCAAGUUGCAUCGGAAUAUGUAACGUUUUAACAAAUAAACAUGUGUUAUCUUAUAAACUCUUCUAUAUAACAUAGUUAGACUUGGUGCUUUGUAUACUUGUAUUAUGCUACUAGCUUCCUUUCUAUCAGGAAUUUAUGGAACUUAUACAACUUCGGAUGAUUUCAUUCCCACUGUACUUCAAACAUCUGAACCAAGUUUUCUUGCCAUUCCAUGCGAGACCUAGUGGACUUAAACUGCAGGCAGCUUUCAAGUGUUCCUGGCUGCACCAUUAUUGAAACUAUGGACACAUAUGCGUUAAAGUGACAAGAGUACUAUCAUGUUUAAGUUCCCAAUCUGUGGCCUAAUUUUAGUGUUAUUUAUAAGUAAUGCACACAUUAAAGACAUACUAUAUAUUUAAAUAACUCACUGAUCCACACAAUUGUGAAGACUACAUUGAGAGAAAACAGUCUGUAUCAAAGACGUUAUUUUUCACAAUAUCUGUUUUGUCAUUAACAAAAUUAAUUAUACUUGCACAUUAAACUGUAGUGUAAAAUAUGACUUUCUGUGGUCAUGAUGGAUGAUAGUUUAGCAUUUGUUAUUCACAAUUUGAAUACCUAAAGAAUUAUGUUUACUUAGACUAUAGACAAAUAUUUUGAAAUAUAACAUAUAAUAUUUUCACUGUUUGAAAAAAAUUCCAAAAAUAGACAUGUUUCCAAACAUGACAAUUGUUUUAAUUUUUCUACUGGCGAUAAAGAGUUUUAAUAGUGAUAAAAAUCUCAAUAUUUUUAAAUAUAACAAAAACAUAACAAGUCUGAGUGAUCUUGAUAGGGAGAUUUCUAAUGUAAUCAACCGAGCAUGCAACAAACAAAUUAGAAACCUAUUAAUUUACAUGGAGAAUUUUACAAAAUCACUGAAGAUACACUUAAAGGGUAUAAGAGAUGAAGAUGUGGUGGCAAGGGCGAAGGCUCAGGCAAUGCUAGAUGAUGGUGGUCCCUCCUAUUUUAAUAUGAUUCCUACAUUUCAGGAUGAGACAAUAUUCCGAAACAGGAUAAACUUUUCUGAUAUAGAAUAUCAAGAGUACUUAUAUUUAGCUGCAAAAGCAAAGGAUCAGUGGGAUGACAUUGUACUCAAGUUAAAAAACAUCACAUGCUGAGGGGCUUUGCUCAUUUAAAUGGCUUUUAUUACUCAAAAAAGUAGCAAGUAAUAUUGUAUAUUUAGUUACAAAAUCUAAUAAAUAAAAACGAGAAACUUUGUACAACAUAAAAGCGAUAAAGACAAAUUAAACAUUUAAACCUUGCAGAUUGUUUUGUGUUGGAAGAAAUCAUAGAAAAAUUUUAAAGUAUGUUGUAUUAAACUAUACAAUUCAUUCAAUUUUUAAGUUGAUAGUAUUGAAAACUUACAAAUUAUAUUGUUUUGAUAUAUGGGGCUAAAGAAUUCUGUAUAUUUAAAUAUGAAAAAUGAUUUGUGCAACUUUAAAUUGAGCUAAUAAUUUAGGUUGGAUAAGGGACUGCACCCACACUCUGCAGUCCUAGCUGAGGGGAUAUCUGCUCUCAAACCAGGUCACCUUGGAGAAAGAAAAGACCAUGGGGAGCCAGACUCUUAUCAGUAAAACAAGAAAGAAGAUUGAUUAUACUUCACACAUAAGCCAGAAUAUUAGUCUUUUUUUACACUGAGGGAGUCAAUUAAAUCUAAAAGAUCUUUAUUCAUAAAUCAUCAAUCUUCAUAGGGCUUCUUGGUAAAAGUACUAUUGACUACUUGCUUCACAAAGUAUAAACCAUAUUGGACCAUUUCCUUAGGACCGAAGAAAAUUAUGAACAUAAUUUUUGCUUGGUGGAGCCUUUUUUCUACGAGUUUAUGCCUCAAUGUGCUAUUUGGAAAUUUGUGGAUUUGUUUCCAGGUUGUAACCAGAAAAACAACUUUUGUCUCCCAUGAUUAGGUUCUCCAAGAAGCUGAGAUCUUCAACGUUUGGCAGAAGGUCUUCAUGACCAGACAUGCUUUGGUGGUCUGUGAAGACCUUCAGAAUAAGUUUGGAACAAAUCUCCUGCUGAACUACCGGUACAGCCAGAGAUGAUACAACUAAUCUAGAGUAUGAAGUACAUUCUAAUAAAAACAACAGUGUUUUACUUUAUCAAUUAAUAGUGUGGAGUUGUAAAUGAUUGUUUCAAAGCUUAAAUGAAACAGAUUAUAAACCACUCUCUACAGAAAACUAGCCAACUACAAUAUGACAUUGCUUUAGAAAUGUGAAAAUGAGUGCUGGAGGAAAGGCAUAGGUAAUUUUAUAUGCUGCACUUAUUAUAUAAAGAUAUAAUAUAAAUAAAGCUAUAACUGUAACUUAGUUUUAACUGUAUUAGAUUCACAGUAAAAAUAAAGUAAAUGGGAAGAAAUUGCUUGCUGUUUUUAGAUUUAUGUGAAUAAUUCUUUCACAUCUACUGUAAAUUGUAUUACAAGUAAAAUAUGCGUAUGAAUACUUUAUGAUUAUACCAUGUUGUCACAAAAAAAUCACAAUUUACCACUAUAAAACAUUAGCCAAGCUGCAUAAUGGAAACUUAAAAAAUACAAUUUUUAUUAAAUGUAAUAACUGGGUAUGACUUAAUUAAUACGCAAAAAAAAUAUUUAUUCUUUAAGGGACAAAGAAUUUUUAAUACGAGUAGGUAACAGAAAUUAAAGUUUAAUGUUUACUUCAAAUUUGAUUUGAUUAACUGUGAAAUUAACCAUUACAGUGCCAGAUUUUUUGGAAUACUAUUAAAAAGGGCCUUGCCUAGUUUUAAAGGUUUUAUCCAAAAGUAGUGUGCCAUUUUUAGCAAUCUGUAAACAGUAAUUAAACACAUGUCAUAAUUUGUUAUGUUUUAUUCGUUAAUUUGAAUAAUUCUGUUUUGUUUGUGCAAAAAUAUGAAUAUUGACAUUUUAUGUACUCAAAACCUUCUUAAAAUAAAAAAGGAAUAAAAACCAAUAAAACCAAAAUAUUACCUUGAGUUUUUUGUUUAGAAAUUUUUAAGAUCAGCAAUUCAAAGAAAUACUAAAGAAGUCCUACACACAUUUAAAACAAGCCACACUAAAGUAACACUUUAUUUUCAACAUAGCUACCAAUUUUUAUUAAGUUAUCUCCAAAAAUAAAAAUAUUAUACAGUUUAUCCGGCCAUAUUGAUUGGUGACUGCCACUACUGCUACUGAUUGAACAAACGCCUUUGCAAUAUAUUCAUUUUUAAUGUAAACUGAUAUUAAAUAUUAUAUUUUUAUUAAAUCUCUUUCAAAAAUCCGGGAAUCUGUAUGUUUGUGUGUUGUGAAUGUUUUAAAAAUGUUAGGUUAUCUGGAAUAGGUAUUUAAAGUGUUAAAAUGUACAAAACCCAUUUUAUUCAUUAAUGUUAUGUUUACUAUAUAAGUGAAUUUUCUAAAUAAUUUGUUUGUCAAAAAUGAAAAAAACGUAUGUCGAGUGUGAACUAUUAACUCAGGUUUGUUUGGGCUCAUGUGAAGUUUUAUAUUAAGUCAUUUAAGAGUGAAGUUUAGGAACUAAAUAAUCCUUACUAUAAAAUGUUUUAUUCUUUACACUAAAAUAGACUAAUAGAAAAUAAAAAAAAAAAUAUAAAAAAAACUAAUAAGUUAAAUUUAUUAAACACAUUAUUGAAAUAAUUCCACUAAUCACUUGAUUUUUACAAACUAAUAGAAAUUAAUUUGUUAGCUUCAAGUAAAAGCUUAAACAACUUAGGUGAGAAAAUAACAAGUUUUCGAGCCUGAGUUUUAUACAUUAAACAUCUAUGUUCUGUUAAAACUUUGCAAUACCGGUAGUACAUUGUGUUAAAAUUGUUUCCAAUAUCUAUAGAUUUUUCUAGACACAUAUUAAUAAAUAGUUAACACUCUACUAUAAUUUAACAUCGUCUUCAUCAGACACUGGUCCCUCCGUAGCUACAUAAGUUCUGUAAUCCACUUUUGCCGUCAUAAACGUUUCUAAAAACAAAUCCCAUAGGUUAAAAGUCUGUGUGAAAAGUAAUUGGAACUCAUAAAGCUUUUCAUCAUUCCAAUCAAAACCCUGUUUCAAAUAUUGCUCGUCGAUAGGUUGCUGUAUACACGCUGGCCCUCGAGUGUCUAUGAAUGACCUACAGGUUUCCAGGAAGUCCGGGGUCCUCAGACGCAUUAUCUCUAUAAUGUUGAAUAGGCAAUGGUUGUACAGAUCGAUCUGGUCUAGAAUAAAUUCCGCGUUCCUUUUCUUUGGUUUCGCGAGCAGUUCGAUGAUUCUGUCAUCGACAGUUUCGAGAAACCGGAGUUUAUCUAUACUUCCACAACACAUGUGCACGGAGAGACACAAGAAAAUAACAAACACAUCACAACUCUCCAUUUAGUCAACUUUAUAAAACUAAAUUAUGCUAUUUCUGAGUUAAUUUAUAACCUUUAGUGAGUGAUAAGAUAAAAAUAGGUUUGUAGUUUCCUUGCUGCAUAUUCGUUGUUUGUUGUCAAACACCUCCCCCAGAAACUAAUCUGUAUAGUACAUAAUCUCUACAUGCAGAAUCACCAUUAUCAGAUCUCAUAUCACAGACAAUUGUGAUGGAGAUUAAAUGUUACUGAUUACUUGUCAGCAGUCCAAUUUCUCAACUCUGCGAAUUGUAAUAUUAAGUUUUUGUUUUGAUCAGCGAUCAUCAAACUAUGCUUUAUAAUAUGGAACAAACAUGUUUUUUGUUAUAUUUUCUUGUAUGGCAGAAAAAGUGAGUAGCUUAUCAGUGGAGAUUGAUUUGUUAACUUUAAGUAAAAAUUUAAACAUUUUGGACCAAAAAAUAACAAGUUUUCUCAGCAAACCGGAAUGCACGAUGAGGGAUGCUUUUCUGACGUGGUUUGAGGAAUACAAUAAACUCUUGUGUCAGCUGGUAUCAAUGCUCAACGAUGAAGAGAUACGAGCGGAACCAGUGGUUAGAAAGCUGCUGUUGGGAGGUGGUCCAACAUUUUUAAAAGUAGAUGUUGAUAAUGAACUACUAAAAGAACAUUUGUAUUGGGGAGAUAGGGAUGUUGAAGAGAUGUAUUAUUGUAUAGGUGUGACAAAGGUAUUGUGGUUUGAGAUAAAAAACGUGCUAUCUCCUUACGGAGAGAGGCAUAUAAGAAACAUUAAUGUCCCUCAUGAACUUUAUGAGCUGGAUGUGUGGGGAUGUUUGAAUGAAGAUAUACAUUUUACAAAACUUGACAUUAAAGAUCCUAGAACCAACUUUACUCUUGAAGAGUAAGCAGAAGGAAAAUCAGGAUAUUAAGAUAUUCAAGUAAAGUACCUGCACUCUCUAAGAAAUCUAUGUUUUAUAAUAUUUCAUAAUAAGUUAUGUAAACUGGAACUAAACUUAUUUUAAGGUAUUGAACUAAUAUAAUAGUAUGUUCAUAGAAGAAACUUCUGGUUAGUCGUUCUCAAAUGAAAACAAAACUUUUUAAAAUUGCAUUAUACUAUUACUGUGGAUAAAAGUGACAGAGGAUUUUUGUUUUAAAGAUUAUUAAAUAUACAGCUGUAUUUUAGGUCCUGCUCUAAUAUAUUAGUAAAUUUAAACUAAAAAUAAAAAUAAAAAAUAAAAAUAAAAAUUCAUGUAUUUUUGCACAUUAAAGCAAAAUUUACUUAUUUUAUGACUAAUUAUAAGUAAUUAGUAUUUUCUAUGAUGUAUUACUAAUAUAAUUUUAUGAAAAUGUAAUUAAAAUCAUUUAGGUGUACUAACAGAAUCUUUGCUUCUAAGUCCCCAAUAGAAAACAACAAAAUUUUUAUUGAGUAAAUACAAAGCAAGUGAUAUAAACUGAGAAUUUCUUUAAAGUGACGAUUACAGCUUAAUCAUGGUUGCAAAGGUAAAGAAAAUCAAAGUCUUAAAAUUUAAAGAAAUAUGUUAAUAACAAAAAUAUUAAGUUUAGAAGCAGAGUGAGGAACUGGCAAAUGUAGAAUGGUCAUUAUAUUACUAAAAUGGAACUUGUCUAACAAAAUGUUUCUCACCAGGCAUUGAACAGGUCAGGGCUAAAGAAUUGAUUAGAAUCAGUGCUAAAGAAUUAGAUGUAAUUGAUCCCCCUAAAAUUUCAUUGUUCUAAAACAGUAGUCCCACGAUGUAAAUAAGAACUAAUACCCUUAUAAUCAGCAUACAAGAAAAUCAUGUGAAAAUAGGUUUCCUUCAGCUCUCAAGAUAGGCAGGGUAAAAAGAGAAUAACAGAAUCCCAAAUUAGAAUUACAGAAAAGAGCACUAAUAAGACUCACGAGUCAUCUCUCACUACAUUUUACCAGGGAAAAAGAAAAAGAGGCAAACUAACAAUCUCUGUCAUUGUAAGACCAUUCAAGUUUAUUGAAGACCAAAUUGACAAAGAAAAUUUAGUCACAGCUGUAUUGCUAUACUACAACAAGGUUUUCAACUGCCUGGGACAUAAAUUGAUUUCCAAAAAAACCUUCAAGCCGCCACUGUAACAACUAUAAAAAGACUGAUUCAUAAACUAUCAGUAAAGGCAAAAGAUUGAUUUGUUCUGAAGGGAAACCAUAGUCUGUUUAGAGGUCUGUAGGUUUACAAUAAAGAAGGAGAGUAUAAAAAGUGGAUUGGAGAAUUAUUUCUGACCCUUGGACAUAAGGGUCCAGGAAGCUCGGAGAAUUCUGCUCUAAUGUACAAAUUAAUGAGUUAGAGGAGAAAAAAAUCAUGGAUUAUAGUGCUAUGGGAAAUAUGUCAUACCCUUUUAAAAAAUAAAUGUGUAAUGUGUUGUAUAA
rnacentral:lncRNA from 1 species